rnacentral:misc_RNA from 1 species
GAUGAAGAACGCAGCGAAAUGCGAUAAGUAAUGUGAAUUGCAGAAUUCAGUGAAUCAUCGAAUCUUUGAACGCACAUUGCGCCCGCCAGUAUUCUGGCGGGCAUGCCUGUUCGAGCGUCAUUUCAACCAUCAAGCCCCCGGGCUUGUGUUGGGGACCUGCGGCUGCCGCAGGCCCUGAAAAGCAGUGGCGGGCUCGCUGUCACACCGAGCGUAGUAGAUUUUAUCUCGCUCAGGGCGUGCUGCGGGUUCCGGCCGUUAAACCACCUUCAUAACCCAAGGUUGACCUCGGAUCAGGUAGGAAGACCCGCUGAACUUAAGCAUAUCAAUAAGCAGGA